rnacentral:rRNA from 1 species
UACGGAGGAUGCGAGCGUUAUCCGGAAUUAUUGGGCGUAAAGCGUGCGCAGGCGGACUGGCAAGUCAGCUGUGAAAGUUUCCGGCUCAACCUUGAAAUUGCAUUUGAAACUGUUAGGCUAGAGUAUAGUAGAGGUGGGCGGAAUUUCUGGUGUAGCGGUGAAAUGCGUAGAGAUCAGGAAGAACACCGGUGGCGAAGGCGGCCCCCUGGGCUAUAACUGACGCUGAGGCACGAAAGCGUGGGGAUCAAACAGG